rnacentral:rRNA from 1 species
AUGGCCGCAGUACUCUGACUGUGCAAAGGUAGCAUAAUCAGUUGGCUUAUAAUUGAAGUCUAGUAUGAACGAAACCACGGGGGCCAACUGUCUAAUAGCCGUUGACCGAAAUUCCUUAAUAAGUGAAAAUUCUUAUAGAUAAAUAAUAGACGAGAAGACCCUAGAAAUUUUUAAUAUAUUGGAAUAAAUUGUUUUUGUUGGGGCGACAGAGUAGCAUACAACCUACUUAUACCUUUAUGUGCUUUGAAUUUUAUGUUUAAUUAAAUUACUCUAGGGAUAACAGCAUAAUAUUCUAAAGUUUGUGACCUCGAUGUUGGACUAGGAUAAUAUAACCCAGAAGGUUACUAUUAAAGCUCUGUUCG